rnacentral:rRNA from 1 species
AGAGUUUGAUCAUGGCUCAGAACGAACGCUGGCGGCGCGCCUAAUACAUGCAAGUCGAGCGAGAAGACGUAGCAAUACGUUUGUAAAGCGGCGAACGGGUGAGGAAUACAUGGGUAACCUACCCUCGAGUGGGGAAUAACUAGCCGAAAGGUUAGCUAAUACCGCAUACGACUCUUGGUCUGCGGAUCGAGAGGGAAAGCGAUACCGUGGGUAUCGCGCUCUUGGAUGGGCUCAUGUCCUAUCAGCUUGUUGGUGAGGUAACGGCUCACCAAGGCUUCGACGGGUAGCUGGUCUGAGAGGACGAUCAGCCACACUGGCACUGCGACACGGGCCAGACUCCUACGGGAGGCAGCAGUAAGGAAUAUUGCGCAAUGGGCGACAGCCUGACGCAGCGACGCCGCGUGGGGGAUGAAGGUCUUCGGAUUGUAAACCCCUUUCGGCAGGGAAGAUGGAACGGGCAACCGUUCGGACGGUACCUGCAGAAGCAGCCACGGCUAACUUCGUGCCAGCCGCCGCGGUAAUAC